GUAUGUCUCAUAGAAAGUAAUCGAUAUCCUCGCCCUAAAAAAGCGUUGAUAAACUUAUACAACUUUCAACAACGGAUCUCUUGGCUCUCGCAUCGAUGAAGAACGCAGCGAAAUGCGAUAAGUAAUGUGAAUUGCAGAUUUUCAGUGAAUCAUCGAAUCUUUGAACGCACCUUGCGCUCCUUGGUAUUCCGAGGAGCAUGCCUGUUUGAGUGUCAUUAAAUUCUCAACUCCUAGGGUUUCACGACCUUUCGGAGAUUGGACUUGGAGGUGCUGGCCGCAUAUUGGUCGGCUCCUCUCAAAUGCAUCAGCGGAAUUCAACCUUUGGCUUCCGGAUGUCUGUGUGAUAAUCAUGUUGCGCUGUCGUUUGAUCCCUCAGAGUCCGCUUAUAAUGGUCUUCGCGACAAAAUCAUCAUCAAAUUUGACCUCAAAUCAGGUAGGACUACCCGCUGAACUUAA
rnacentral:misc_RNA from 1 species